UACGUAGGGUGCAAGCGUUGUCCGGAAUUAUUGGGCGUAAAGAGCUCGUAGGCGGUUUGUCGCGUCUGCUGUGAAAUCCCAGGGCUUAACCCUGGGCCUGCAGUGGGUACGGGCAAACUAGAGUGCGGUAGGGGAGAUCGGGAUUCCUGGUGUAGCGGUGAAAUGCGCAGAUAUCAGGAGGAACACCGGUGGCGAAGGCGGAUCUCUGGGCCGUAACUGACGCUGAGGAGCGAAAGCAUGGGUAGCGAACAGG
rnacentral:rRNA from 1 species